rnacentral:antisense_RNA from 1 species
GGUAACUCAGAAUUGUGCCGAAAUCGAGGGUUGGGUCAGUCACCAGACGCACCGCCCCAAUGUUGGAGUCAUACAAGCCACCAAAAGCCAUGGCCUUGAUCACCAGGAGCAGGGCACCUAAACCCAGAAUCGCCAGAUGGUGCCCCAGAAUCAGACCCAGUUGCUUGGGGUCACCCCA